rnacentral:lncRNA from 1 species
GGUUAUAGUAGUGGUAGUGACUGGUUAUAGUAAUGGUGGUGACUGGUUAUAGUAGUGGUAGUGUCGACAGUAGUAGUGGUAGUGACUGGUUAUAGUAGUGGUAGUGACUGGUUAUAGUUAUAGUAGUGGUAGUGACUGGUUAUAGUAGUGGUAGUGUCUGGUUAUAGUAGUGGUAGUGACUGUGAAUGGUUAUAGUUAUAGUAGUGGUAGUGACUGGUUAUAGUAGUGGUAGUGACUGGUUAUAGUAGUGGUAGUGACUGGUUAUAGUAGUGGUAGUGACUGGUUAUAGUUAUAGUAAUGGUAGUGACUGGUUAUAGUUCUAGUAGUGGUAGUGACUGGUUAUAGUUAUAGUAAUGGUAGUGACUGGUUAUAGUUAUAGUAAUGGUAGUGACUGGUUAUAGUAGUGGUAGUGACUGGUUAUAGUAGUGGUAGUGACUGGUUAUAGUUAUAGUAAUGGUAGUGACUGGUUAUAGUAGUGGUAGUGACUGGUUAUAGUAGUGGUAGUGACUGGUUAUAGUAGUGGUAGUGUCUGGUUAUAGUAGUGGUAGUGACAGGUUAUAGUAGUGGUAGUGACUGGUUAUAGUAGUGGUAGUGACUGGUUAUAGUAGUGGUAGUGACUGGUUAUAGUAGUGGUAGUGACUGGUUAUAGUAGUGGUAGUGACUGGUUAUAGCAGUGGUAGUGGCUGGUUAUAGUAGUGGUAGUGACUGGUUAUAGUUAUAGUAAUGGUAGUGACUGGUUAUAGUAGUGGUAGUGACUGGUUAUAGUUAUAGUAAUGGUAGUGACUGGUUAUAGUAGUG